rnacentral:rRNA from 1 species
ACGUAGGACGCGAGCGUUAUCCGGAGUUACUGGGCGUAAAGCGCGGGCAGGCGGUCUGACAAGUCUGAUGUGAAAUCUCCUGGCUUAACCGGGAGAGGCCAUUGGAAACUGACAGGCUGGAGGGCAGUAGAGGUAGGCGGAAUUCCGGGUGGAGUGGUGAAAUGCGUAGAGAUCCGGAGGAACACCAGAGGCGAAGGCGGCCUACUGGGCUGCACCUGACGCUGAGCCGCGAAAGCCAGGGGAGCGAACGGGA